rnacentral:lncRNA from 1 species
CCGAGGCGUGGGCACAGAAUAGCGCAGGUGAGGCCCAGAUAUGGUGUCUCGAUACGGCGCGGAAGUUUGAAGACAUCAUUUUCCAGUUUUGGAGCCGACUAAUGAACUAGUUCUUAAGUGAAAGGCAUUUAACACGACUGUGCAUCUACAGGUACUAGGUUUCCAAGAUGCCUUUCCAGACUAAAACCCACACAUGUGAGCCGCUGGCCGGACAAACAUCUGGCACCUAACGUGGGGCUGAAAAACAGCAGAGGACAUUUGGAAGAAACACUGCUGGUUUGGAGCUCCAUAGAAGAAGAAAAUAAUUAAAGGAAAUUCAUACCAGAGAAGGAAGCUGCAGCUCCUCUCCUCUGGAUCUUUAUGACCACACCAGGAAGCAUUGUGAUCUGCAGUCACUGCCAACCUGCAGGAUAACACAGCUUGUUCCUCUGGGAACUGCCCUGCAGUGUCUGCAUACAGCCACCCUCGACCUGUCUGCCUG